rnacentral:rRNA from 1 species
UACGUAGGGGGCAAGCGUUGUCCGGAUUUACUGGGCGUAAAGAGCGUGUAGGCGGCCAGGCAGGUCUGUUGUGAAAACUGGAGGCUCAACUUCCAGACGUCGACAGAAACCGCUUGGCUAGAGUCCGGAAGAGGAGAGUGGAAUUCCUGGUGUAGCGGUGAAAUGCGCAGAUAUCAGGAAGAACACCGAUGGCGAAGGCAGCUCUCUGGACGGUACUGACGCUGAGACGCGAAAGCGUGGGGAGCGAACAGG